GCAAACUUGGUCAUUUAGAGGAAGUAAAAGUCGUAACAAGGUUUCCGUAGGUGAACCUGCGGAAGGAUCAUUAUUGAAUAAACUUGGUGGGUUGUAGCUGGCUCUUAGGGGCAUGUGCACGCUCAUCAUCUUUAUACAUCCAACUGUGCACAAUUUGUAGACUUUGAAGAGAGAUCCUUCUCGACUUGCUUGUUCGGAUUCAUUAGACUGCUAUAUGAAAGUGUAGCUUUCUAUUGGGGUUUCCUUCAAGUCUAUGUGUCUUUAUAGACUACUGAACCAAGUAAUUGAAUGUAUUGAAUGGGCCUUUGUGCCUAUAUAAUGAAUUAUACAACUUUCAGCAACGGAUCUCUUGGCUCUCGCAUCGAUGAAGAACGCAGC
rnacentral:misc_RNA from 1 species